GGCUUGGUGGUGUAGUGGUUAACACAUCUGCUGUACAUUCUCAGGCUCAUCCAUUGUUUAGCAGGUGUCCCUCGUUCGAUUCGAGGCCAGGCCA